AGCAAAUGUACAUAUAGGUAUAGAAUUUACAUGGUGGCCCAAAUGGGCAAAGGUAGCCCAACUAAAGAUUUCAAAAAGAGGCAAGAGAGAGCCCACCCAAAACAUAUACAACCCAAUGAAGAGGACCUAGCCUAGUGAACAAAGAAGAGGCAAGGAGCAGCAACAAAUGAAUAACCAUUUAUAACGGAUAAGGUAACCAAUGAAUAACCAUUUAUAACGGAUAAGGUAACCAUUAUAUGUGGUUGCUCGUUGUAACUACGUGUUGGCCAGUGAUGGCAACGAGAGUGGAGACCACAGAGCUUACAGAUCACGCCACUCAUAGAGAUCAAUCUGGAGGCAUAGGUGGAGGAUGGGGAGCUGCCGGAGCAAAGGACCAAUCAUCAAUAAAAUUCGAGAAACCAAAGUUCCUUGAAGCCUUCAAGGAGACAACAAUGGAAGAUGCAAUUGACUUCAAUACUUUCAUUUGAGUAGAAGGUCCUCGACAGUACCAGUUUUAGAGUUGUUCAUGCAGAUCAAAGAUUGUUCAUCUUCACUCUUCCGGAUCAUUGAUGUAGGACAUUCUUCAGAUUAUCCAUUUAUUUAUCAGACUUAGUAUUUUUUUAUUAUUUCAGUUGGGAUAUUAUUAGGGGUCCAUAUGGUAUGGAUUUCCGAGUUGUAUUAUGGAGGAUUAUUGGUAUCAGAGAUAAUUAUUACUUAUUGGAAUUUAUUCUUGGAGGAUUUAAUUAUUAUUUUAGUUUUUCUUUCAGCUUUUA